rnacentral:rRNA from 1 species
UUCCGGUUCAUCCUGCCGGACCUGACUGCUAUCGGAUGAUACUAAGCCAUGCGAGUCUUUGUAGUAAUACAAGGCAGACGGCUCAGUAACACGUAGUCAACCUACCCUAUGGACGAGAAUAAUCUCGGGAAACUGAGCAUAAUUCUCGAUAGAUCAUAAUGCCUGGAAUGGUUUAUGGUUAAAAUGAUUCGUCGCCAUAGGAUGGGACUGCGGCCUAUCAGCUUGUUGGUGAGGUAAUGGCCCACCAAGGCGAUUACAGGUACGGGCUCUGAGAGGAGAAGCCCGGAGAUGGGUACUGAGACACGGACCCAGGCCCUAUGGGGCGCAGCAGGCGAGAAAACUUUGCAAUGUGCGAAAGCACGACAAGGUUAAUCCGAGUGAUUUCUGCUAAAGAAAUCUUUUGUCAGUCAUAAAACCACUGACGAAUAAGGGGUGGGCAAGUUCUGGUGUCAGCCGCCGCGGUAAAACCAGCACCUCAAGUGGUCAGGAUGAUUAUUGGGCCUAAAGCAUCCGUAGCCGGCUUUGUUAGUUUUCGGUUAAAUCCAUGUGCUCAACACAUGGGCUGCCGAAAAUACUGCAUGGCUAGGGAGUGGGAGAGGUAGACGGUACUCAGUAGGAAGGGGUAAAAUGCUUUGAUCUCUCGAUGACCACCUGUGGCGAAGGCGGUCUACCAGAACACGUCCGACGGUGAGGGAUGAAAGCUGGGGGAGCAAACCGGAUUAGAUACCCGGGUAGUCCCAGCCGUAAACUAUGCAAACUCAGUGAUGCAUUGGCUUUUGGCCAAUGCAGUGUUGCAGGGAAGCCGUUAAGUUUGCCGCCUGGGAAGUACGUACGCAAGUAUGAAACUU